CCUAGCUAUGCAGUCUCGAAUGCAAUUCCCAGGUUGAGCCCGGGGCUUUCACACCCGACUUACAUAACCGUCUACGCACGCUUUACGCCCAGUAAUUCCGAUUAACGCUUGCACCCUCUGUAUUACCGCGGCUGCUGGCACAGAGUUAGCCGGUGCUUUUUCUUUGGGUUAGGUCAAGACUCAGCGGUAUUAGCCCUGAGCUUUUCAUCCCCACUAAAAGUGCUUUACAACCCGCAGGCCUUCUUCACACACGCGGCGUCGCUGGAUCAGGGUUUCCCCCAUUGUCCAAUAUUCCCCACUGCUGCCUCCCGUAGGAGUCUGGGCCGUGUCUCAGUCCCAGUGUGGCUGGUCGUCCUCUCAGACCAGCUACGGAUCGUCGCCUUGGUAGGCCGUUACCCUACCAACUAGCUAAUCCGGUUUCGGCUCAUCCAUCGGCGCGAGGUCUUACGAUCCCCCGCUUUCUCCCGUAGGACUUAUGCGGUAUUAGCCAACCUUUCGGCUGGUUAUUCCCCACCAUUGGGCAGAUUCCGAAACAUUACUCACCCGUUCGCCGCUCGUCAGCAUGUAUUGCUACACCUGUUACCGCUCGACUUGCAUGUGUUAGGCACGCCGCCAGCGUUCAAUCUGAGCCAGGAUCAAACUCU
rnacentral:rRNA from 1 species